UUAUCAAGAAAGGGUUAGCUUUGACGAACCAGGGAAAGUAACAGUUCGUUCUUUCUCCAGUAUUUGCGGGACGAGCAAAGGCAAGGUUCAGUACUACAGUAGAAGUAGCUUGGCAAUUGUGGAACCGCAACUUCGCCUGCACCGCACGCGAAGUUGAUUACAAUGAGCGGCCGUUCUAAUAAAAGGUAUUCUGGCCGUCAGCAUGGUGGAGGAUCAUCUGCGCAGGAGAACAGUGCACUAAUGAACGACAAGUUCGUCUACGACAUAACUUCAUGCAUUGGCCUUAGGACGUGUGUAAAUUUGAAGAGCGGUGAAAUUCUGGACGGAGUACUCUUGAGCUACAUGCAACACAAGGUGUGUUUUUAUUUGUUUUGU